rnacentral:lncRNA from 1 species
GAUAGGCCGGCCAAAACACAAUACAACAAUGAAGUCGCUCCAUCGUUUAUGUUUUAUACUACUUAAAAUCAGAGUAAAACGAGGAAUAUAUUCUUAACAGAACAUCAAAUUAAACCCUAACCCAAAAAAAAAAACAUAAACAACAACAUAGGCUUAGAUAGUGACCCCUUACCUCACCAAUGAACUACCACCUUCAAGCAAUCACCAAUGGCGUUAUCUCCAAUCACGACAAAUGAACAGUAAUUGAACAACAAUGGCGUUCUCUCUAAUCGCG